GACGAACGCUGGCGGCGUGCUUAACACAUGCAAGUCGAACGAAGAGCGACGGAAGCUUGCUUCUAUCAAUCUUAGUGGCGAACGGGUGAGUAACGCGUAAUCAACCUGCCCUUCAGAGGGGGACAACAGUUGGAAACGACUGCUAAUACCGCAUACGAUCUAACCUCGGCAUCGAGGAUAGAUGAAAGGUGGCCUCUACAUGUAAGCUAUCACUGAAGGAGGGGAUUGCGUCUGAUUAGCUAGUUGGAGGGGUAACGGCCCACCAAGGCGAUGAUCAGUAGCCGGUCUGAGAGGAUGAACGGCCACAUUGGGACUGAGACACGGCCCAGACUCCUACGGGAGGCAGCAGUGGGGAAUCUUCCGCAAUGGACGAAAGUCUGACGGAGCAACGCCGCGUGAGUGAUGACGGCCUUCGGGUUGUAUAGCUCUGUUAAUCGGGACGAAAGGCCUUCUUGCGAAUAGUGAGAAGGAUUGACGGUACCGGAAUAGAAAGCCACGGCUAACUACGUG
rnacentral:rRNA from 1 species